rnacentral:rRNA from 1 species
UCCUGCCGGACCUGACUGCUAUCGGAUUGAUACUAAGCCAUGCGAGUCUUUGUAGUAAUACAAGGCAGACGGCUCAGUAACACGUAGUCAACCUACCCUAUGGACAAGAAUAAUCUCGGGAAACUGGGCAUAAUUCUUGAUAGAUCAUAAUGCCUGGAAUGGUUUAUGGUUAAAAUGAUUCGUCGCCAUAGGAUGGGACUGCGGCCUAUCAGCUUGUUGGUGAGGUAAUGGCCCACCAAGGCGAUUACAGGUACGGGCUCUGAGAGGAGAAGCCCGGAGAUGGGUACUGAGACACGGACCCAGGCCCUAUGGGGCGCAGCAGGCGAGAAAACUUUGCAAUGUGCGAAAGCACGACAAGGUUAAUCCGAGUGAUUUCUGCUAAAGAAAUCUUUUGCCAGUCAUAAAACCACUGGUGAAUAAGGGGUGGGCAAGUUCUGGUGUCAGCCGCCGCGGUAAAACCAGCACCUCAAGUGGUCAGGAUGAUUAUUGGGCCUAAAGCAUCCGUAGCCGGCUUUGUAAGUUUUCGGUUAAAUCCAUGUGCUCAACGCAUGGGCUGCCGAAAAUACUGCAUGGCUAGGGAGUGGGAGAGGUAGACGGUACUCAGUAGGAAGGGGUAAAAUCCUUUGAUCUAUUGAUGACCACCUGUGGCGAAGGCGGUCUACCAGAACACGUUCGACGGUGAGGGAUGAAAGCUGGGGGAGCAAACCGGAUUAGAUACCCGGGUAGUCCCAGCUGUAAACGAUGCAGACUCGAUGAUGCAUUGGCAUAAUAGCCAGUGCAGUGUCGCAGGGAAGCCGUUAAGUCUGCCGCCUGGGAAGUACGUACGCAAGUAUGAAACU